CUGAAGACAGGCCAGGAUGACCACAUAGGGCAGUGAUGGCAAACCUUUUAGAGCUCACAAUGAUAUAAACAGCCUGCUGGGCACGUACGCCAUCAGUUCAACACCACUGACCUACGAUAUAGUAGAGAAUGAGCAGCUUGAUGAUGUAUUCAAGGAGAUCAGAUCUCAGAGGAAAACUUGAAGCCUUAAUCGGAUAUUUCAUUGAGUAUAUUCCUCAACCCGGAAUAUGUUCUCACCACACAUCACCAUGGCUUUCUUAGGUUUGCUGUAUCAGAGAGGCUUCUACUCAUCAUCAUUUUAAAGACAAAGACAAACAAGAGCAGCUCCUCUUGCUCACAACAUUAGCUAUCUUUCUCCUUCUGUAUUUUUGUAUUUUUCCAUGUAAUAUUGCAAUUAUAAAUUCUGAAUCAUUAACAAAAAGUGCAUUAUUCUGUUUUCCUCUCUCUUCGGAAAGGUAAGAACUCAUUGUUAAUUUUAUUGUUAGUUUUAAAACCAGGUGAAAUU
rnacentral:lncRNA from 1 species